rnacentral:rRNA from 1 species
AGAGUUUGAUCCUGGCUCAGGAUGAACGCUGGCGGCGUGCCUAACACAUGCAAGUCGAACGAAGCAAUUAAGAUGAAGUUUUCGGAUGGAAUCUUGAUUGACUGAGUGGCGGACGGGUGAGUAACGCGUGGAUAACCUGCCUCACACUGGGGGAUAACAGUUAGAAAUGACUGCUAAUACCGCAUAAGCGCACAGUGCCGCAUGGCAGUGUGUGAAAAACUCCGGUGGUGUGAGAUGGAUCCGCGUCUGAUUAGCCAGUUGGCGGGGUAACGGCCCACCAAAGCGACGAUCAGUAGCCGACCUGAGAGGGUGACCGGCCACAUUGGGACUGAGACACGGCCCAAACUCCUACGGGAGGCAGCAGUGGGGAAUAUUGCACAAUGGGCGAAAGCCUGAUGCAGCGACGCCGCGUGAGUGAAGAAGUAUUUCGGUAUGUAAAGCUCUAUCAGCAGGGAAGAAAAUGACGGUACCUGACUAAGAAGCCCCGGCUAACUACGUGCCAGCAGCCGCGGUAAUACGUAGGGGGCAAGCGUUAUCCGGAUUUACUGGGUGUAAAGGGAGCGUAGACGGCGAAGCAAGUCUGAAGUGAAAACCCAGGGCUCAACCCUGGGACUGCUUUGGAAACUGUUUUGCUAGAGUGUCGGAGAGGUAAGUGGAAUUCCUAGUGUAGCGGUGAAAUGCGUAGAUAUUAGGAGGAACACCAGUGGCGAAGGCGGCUUACUGGACGAUAACUGACGUUGAGGCUCGAAAGCGUGGGGAGCAAACAGGAUUAGAUACCCUGGUAGUCCACGCC